rnacentral:rRNA from 1 species
UACGGAAGGGGCAAGCGUUGUUCGGAAUCAUUGGGCGUAAAGGGCGCGUAGGUGGUUCUGUAUGUCUACCGUGAAAGCAUACAGCUCAACUGUAUUUUGUCGGUAGAAACUGCAGGACUUGAGGCUGGGAGGGGCUGGUGGAAUUCCCUGUGUAGCGGUGAAAUGCGUAGAGAGUGGGGGAGAACACUCGUGGCGAAGGCGGCCAGCUAGACCAGUUCUGACACUGGAGGCGACGACAGCGUGGGGAGCAAACAGG